rnacentral:rRNA from 1 species
GAUGAACGCUGACAGAAUGCUUAACACAUGCAAGUCAACUUGAACCUCGGUAUGGGCGGCGGACGGGUGAGUAACGCGUAAAGAACUUGCCUCACAGCAAGGGACUCUAUUUGGACAUGAACGCUAACAUCUGAUAUUAUGAUUAUAUGGCAUAUUAGAAUUACGAAAGCUAUAUGCGCUGUGGGAGAGCUUUGCGUCACAUUAGCUCGUUGGAGAGGUAACAGCUCACCAAGGCGAUGAUGGGUAGCCGGCCUGGGAGCGUGAUCGGUCACAAGGGGACUCGGGCACGGCCCUUACGGCUUCGGGAGGCAUGAGUGGAGAAUAUUGGACAAUGGACCGAGAGUCUGAUCCAGCAAUUCUGUGUGCAAGAUGAAGUUUUUCGGAAUGAAAAGUGCUUUCAGUUGGGAAGAAAAAAAUGACGGUACCAACAGAAGAAGUGACGGCUAAAUACGUG